UCCAGGCUCUGAGCUGUCAGCCCAGAGCCUGACGUGGACUUGAACCCACGAAUCCAUGACCCAAGCCGAUGUCAGACGCUUAACCGACUGAGCCACCCAGGAGCCCCCAUUUUCACAGUGUUUUUAUUCAUGCCAGCUUCUGGCUGGUCAUCACAUUCCUGAAAAAAAUUCUACAAAACAGAGCGUGGUUGACUAUUUCUUUUGGAUCAUCUGAACAAAGUAUUCCUAUUAAUUAAUACAGCAUAAGACUAGGUUAGAUCCUCAAAGAUGUUCACAUGAAUUUUGUAAUACAAAAAUCCCUAGAUUUAAUCUUUGUGCUAAAAUAGAUUCUUUUUAUCCAGUUUUUGUUUGAAUUUCUGAACCAAAAUGUAGGGCUUCAGAUUUAACUUUGUGAAAAUUAAUGUUGCCAAUACAUUUUAGCACUCUCUGUAAGAUGGAGAUACUUUACAUUAUUUAAAGAAAGAUCACUUUAAAUCUUGUUGUAUUAUAUAAUAUAUGUAUUUCUCCAUCUCCUCUUAUUUGCACAUUCAGCUCAGUUAUUUUAAAAUAAAUUUGUGUCAAAGAUACACAACAAAAUGAAUAUGCUCAGAAACUCUACAGUUGAGACUUCUCAUCAAGUUUAUACUCUGGCAUUAAUUCACAUUAAUUGAAUAUAGUUUUGAAUAUAAGUCCAAUUAAAUAUAUUAUUAUUCAGCCCAUGUUUUAUUCAGAGGUAUGAUUGGAAACUUUAUCGCUUCCUUUCUAAAAGAUAAUAAUAUCUGAAUAGCCAUCUCAAACAUAAAAUGACCCUAUUCAAUAGUUUUAGACAUGUUAGUUUUAUUUUCUGGAAGUUUGUUGGACUUUCUUUUUCCACCAAAAUGUAAAGUCUUUAUAAGAAAUGUGUUAGUUAACACAGAUCCUUUAGAAAGGAGGGCCUGAGGAGCAGUCAAAGUGUUGCUGCCUAAAGAGGUACAAGCAUGUGUGUGUGGUAAGAUAAAGAGAAAAAAGGAACUGAGGAAAGGAACAGAGUGAGUGGAACAGAGCCAGUAGGUUUCUCAGUGGGCAUGUUUGCUUAAUAUUUAGUACUUCCCAGAAGAUUGUAAGGAGUAAUCCCACCUCAGUGCAUGGAAGAGAGCUAAAAGGGGGAAAUAUAUCUGCCUUGGUCUGUGUUAUCUCCUGCUUUGUAUCAGUCAAGAUUCACCCACACUUACUCCCCAUAUCCCACCAGCUCAACUACCUUGUCCUUCCAACUUUGUUCUCCCCUGGUAUAUCUGUGCCUGUCAGUACAUAGUUAGGAGGCAGCAAAUCUCAAACCUGGAAUUAAACCACAUGUAUUAGUCGGCUUAGGUUGCCAUAACAAAUGUUUAGGUUACCCAAAGUUCUGGAGGCUGGAAAGUCCAAGGUCAGAGUGCCAACCUGGUCAGGUGGUGGUGACAGCUCUCUUGCUGGCAUGCAGAUAGCUACCUUCUUGCUGUGUCCUCACAUGGUAGCGGAAGAGACAGAGUCUGAAGUCUCUUCUUCAAAGGGUGCUAAUCUCAUGCUGAAGAUCCCACCCUCAGGGGUUCAAUAUGUGGGGACACAAUUCAUUCUAUAGCACCCUCCCCCUCAAAUUCAUGUCCUUCUUACAUGAAAAAUACAUUCAUUCCAUCUCAACAGCUCCAACACUUUUAGUUCAUUCUAUUAUCAACUCUAAAGUCUAUUAGAGUCCAAAGUCUUAUCUGAGUGUCUUUUAAAGCAGAUAUGGGUGAGAUUCAAGAUUCAACUAAUGCUGAGGCAAAAUUCUAAUCUAACUGUGAACCUGUGAAACCAGACAAGUGAUAUGCUUUCAAAACACAAUGAUAUUCCUAUUCCAAGAGGUAGAAAUGGGGAGGAGAAAAGAGGCAACAGGCCCCAAGCAAGUCCAAGACCUAACAAGGCAAAUUAUAUUAGAUCUCAAGGCUGGAGAAAAUCCUCUGGUUGGAUGUUCUGUUGUCUACACCCAGUAGGGUGACAGCAUACCCAUCCCGCCAUCACCACCAUGGCCCUUUGGGGCAGCCCUGUCCCUUUUGGUCAAUAUUGGGCAGAAAACAAUAGAAAUACAACACAUUGCUAAUGUGUAAAUUAAUAUAAUCUUUCCAGAGAACAACUUUGCAAUGCAAACCAAAAGCCAUAAAAUUUUGCAUAUCUUCUGGAGCAGUGACUUCAAGUGUAGCUAUUUAUAGUAACAAUAUUUCUAUAGUUGCAUAAAAUAUUAUAAUACAAGAAUGUUUAUCACAAUAAUUAUAUUAAAAUGAAACAUGUGGAAACCCCAAAUGUCAACAGAGAUUGAUGUAGUUACUCAGUAGCCUAAUGUGCAGACAAAAAGAAUGACAAUUAACAUCUUACUCAGACUAUUUAAUGUCAUAUAAGGAAUCCAAUGUAUAAUAUAUAAAUGAAGCAGGUUAUCAAACAACAUGUGAAAUUGUGGUAGAUGCUGUGUGUGUCACAGCCAUGUACCUUCACCCUCACUAUUUCAGUCUAUGCUUGCUCGACUUCUAAUUGCUGGAUUCUACUUCUGUUUGCCUGAGUUUUCUUUGUCCAGGUGCUUAGCAGGCCAGAAUGCUAAAGAAUAAUGCUCCUGGAUGUGUAAUUGCCCAAUAAUUGAUGGAGUUCAUGUACAAAUAGCCCAGGUCACACACUCUUUUGCUGAAGUGACUUUGAGAACAGUGCUCCAUACUGACUCCCAGAGUUCCUCAUUGGGAUCAGAUCCAAGAAUCCACAGUGAUGACUUCCCAGCUGGAAUGGAGAUUUCAUGGGCCAUGUGCAUGAAUGAUCUCACUGAUGGCAAAGCAACAAAAUCAAGGGUCUGUGGCCAUCAGUGAGAUGGCUCAGUAGCAAGUUCAGCUUAUGUCUGAAUUUUGGAAAGCGUUCUCUGACUCUUUGAAUCUGUGCUGGCUGAUAACUCCAAGAAGCAGCUCUGGUCAUUUGAAUCAGCUGGUGGUGUUGGAAAUGUCCAUAUACUGGAUAUGUGAAGUGGAUGAAGCCAAAAAUUUUCAAGGGAACCCACAGAGAGCAGCUAUUGUGAUGUGUCACAGUGUCCUCUGAUCUAAGCUUCAGGAAAUCUGGCUCAUUGUUCAUGUUUCUGGACUCACAGUCAAAUGCCCUAGCGAGCCAUGUAUCUUCUUUAUCUCUGCCUCAGCAUUCGGCCUGCCUAGACUCUGAAGCUUUUGGAGUGAGGAGAUAACAGGAGGAUGCUGUCCAUUCCAGUCCAUUCCAGCUGGUCCCUGAUAUUGACGUGGGUGCUGUUUUGGCCUCAAUCCUGCCCUCUGCCUGUAUUCACUGAGUGGGAUUUCCCCACCAGAAGCCUUCGCAUUCUCUGAGUCAUUUGGACUUGGACUUACUUGUCCAGAAGUUUUAGUUCCUGGAGAACUUGAGAAGGACUCCUUCUCCAGUUGUUGGACUUUAUUCCCCCUGCUGCUGCUCCACACCACCACAGCUUAUUCAGUCACUGGACAGUUCUUGGUGAAGAAUGAUACUCCUUAUUGCAGCGUGCCCCUUCUGCCUUGGCAAAGACCCAGCACAUUCUUCCACCUGAUGGUUUGAUGAAAAACCAAGGUUCAAUAAGAAGCCUUUGUCUUGGGGAAACUGAAUUUUCCUGCUGAGAUGGUAGACCAUACUUGGUUCUGUUUCCAGUUCGAAAUAGUGCCAUAUUUAUCAAACAACACUUUGAAGUAUCAUUUGAGAAAUUUAUGGGAUCUUCACUUUUCUUAUUUGUAAAUGAUGUAGUAUUUAAUAUAUCCAAAUGAAUUUAUACAAAUAAAUGCACAUUAUAAAGCAUAAUAAUUUGGAAUACAAAUAUAAUGGGAAAUCUCAUUUUAAUUUUUAUCCAU